rnacentral:lncRNA from 1 species
CUGGGUGUGUUGUCCAUCACUAGCAGCACCAUAUCAUCAGGUAACAUUCUGGGUAUGUUGUCUAGCAGCACCAUAUCACCAGGUAACAUUCUGGGUGUGUUGGCAAUCAGCACCAUAUCACCAGGUAACAUUCUGGGUGUGUUGUCUAUCAGCACCAUAUCACCAGGUAACAUUCUGGGUAUGUUGUCUAUCAGCACCAUAUCACGAGGUAACAUUCUGGGUGUGUUGUCUAUCACUAGCAGCACCAAUUCACCAGGUAACAUUCUGAGUAUGUUGUCUAUCACUAGCAGCACCAUAUCACCAGGUAACAUUCUAGGUGUGUUGUCCAUCACUAGCAGCAUCAUAUCACCAGGUAACAUUCUGGGUGUGUUGUCCAUCACUAGCAGCACCAUAUCACCAAGUAACAUUCUGGGUAUGUUGUCUAUCAGCACCAUAUCACCAGGUAACAUUCUGGGUAUGUUGUCUAUCAGCACCAUAUCACCAGGUAACACUCUGGCUGUGUUGUCUAUCAGCACCAUAUCACCAGGUAACAUUCGGAGUAUGUUGUCAAUCAGCACCAUAUCACCAGGUAACAUUCUGGGUGUGUUGUCUAUCAGCACCAUAUCACCAGGUAACAUUCUGAGUAUGUUGUUUAUCACUAGCAGCACCAUAUCAUCAGGUAACAUUCUGAGUAUGUUGUCUAUCACUAUCAGCACCAUAUCACCAGGUAACAUUCUGAGUAUGUUGUCUAUCACUAGCAGCACCAUAUCACCAGGUAACAUUCUGGGUGUGUUGUCCAUCACUAGCAGCACCAUAUCAUCAGGUAACAUUCUGGGUAUGUUGUCUAGCAGCACCAUAUCACCAGGUAACAUUCUGGGUGUGUUGGCAAUCAGCACCAUAUCACCAGGUAACAUUCUGGGUGUGUUGUCUAUCAGCACCAUAUCACCAGGUAACAUUCUGGGUAUGUUGUCUAUCAGCACCAUAUCACCAGGUAACAUUCUGGGUGUGUUGUCUAUCAGCACCAUAUCACCAGGUAACAUUCUGAGUAUGUUGUUUAUCACUAGCAGCACCAUAUCAUCAGGUAACAUUCUGAGUAUGUUGUCUAUCACUAUCAGCACCAUAUCACCAGGUAACAUUCUGAGUAUGUUGUCUAUCACUAGCAGCACCAUAUCACUAGGUAACAUUCUGAGUAUAUUGUCUAUCACUAGCAGCACCAUAUCACCAGGUAACAUUCUGAGUAUGUUGUCUAGCAGCACCAUAUCACCAGGUAACAUUCUGGGUGUGUUGGCAAUCAGCACCAUAUCACCAGGUAACAUUCUGAGUAUAUUGUCUAUCACUAGCAGCACCAUAUCACCAGGUAACAUUCUGAGUAUGUUGUCUAGCAGCACCAUAUCACCAGGUAACAAUCUGAGUAUGUAAUCUAUCACUAUCAGUAUGUGUAAAUGUACUUGGUGAAUAAAGGUGAUUCUGAAUGAAGAGCAGCAGCCCAUUUCUGGAAGACUAUUUUAUUGUCCUGACAGACAACCUCCGAUCUUUAUCCACAGCUUUUUAUCUCUGGUGAUACAUCAAACGUGUACAACCAGACAAUGCUAACAGGUAACACAAUCCUCUCAUUAUCAGUGUAAAUAACCUGUGUUGCCAGGGAAAUACUCUGAGAGAUACUGUAUGUCAUUCAUUCAUUCAUUCACAUCCCUUUGUUUCCACUAAAUAAAUACUGUAGUUUCACUUUCAUCGUGACUAAAUACAAGGCUCUUUCAUCGUGACUAAAUACAAGGCUCUUUCAUCGUGACUAAAUACAAGGCUCUUUCAUCACGACUAAAUACAAGGCUCUUUCA